GACGAACGCUGGCGGCGUGCUUAACACAUGCAAGUCGAGCGGUAAGGCCCUUUCGGGGUACACGAGCGGCGAACGGGUGAGUAACACGUGGGUGACCUGCCCUCAGCUCUGGGAUAAGCCUGGGAAACCGGGUCUAAUACUGGAUAUGACUCCAUGACGCAUGUUGUGGGGUGGAAAGCCUUGUGCGGCUGAGGAUGGGCCCGCGGCCUAUCAGCUUGUUGGUGGGGUGAGGCCUACCAAGGCGACGACGGGUAGCCGGCCUGAGAGGGCGACCGGCCACACUGGGACUGAGACACGGCCCAGACUCCUACGGGAGGCAGCAGUGGGGAAUCUUGCGCAAUGGGCGAAAGCCUGACGCAGCGACGCCGCGUGAGGGAUGACGGCCUCGG
rnacentral:rRNA from 1 species